GACGAACGCUGGCGGCGUGCUUAACACAUGCAAGUCGAACGGAAAGGCCCUGCUUUUGUGGGGUGCUCGAGUGGCGAACGGGUGAGUAACACGUGAGUAACCUGCCCUUGACUUUGGGAUAACUUCAGGACACUGGGGCUAAUACCGGAUAGGAUCUCCUGCCGCAUGGUGGGGGUGGGAUAGUUUCGGUGGUUGGGUAUGGACUCGCGGCUUAUCAGCUUGUUGGUGGGGUAGUGGCUUACCAAGGCUUGGACGGGUAGCCGGCCUGAGAGGGUGACCGGCCACAUUGGGACUGAGAUACGGCCCGGACUCCUACGGGAGGCAGCAGUGGGGAAUAUAGCACAAUGGGCGGAAGCCUAAUGCAGCAACGCAGCGUGCGGGAUGACAGCAUUCGGGUUGUAAACCGCUUUCGCCUGAGACGAAGCGUGAGUGACAGUAAUGGGUAAAGAAGCACCGGCUAACUACGUG
rnacentral:rRNA from 1 species